rnacentral:rRNA from 1 species
UGGGCAACCUGCCCCUAGCACUGGGAUAACCCCGGGGAAAACCGGGGCUAAUACCGGAUAUGACCUCGGAGGGCAUCUUCUGAGGUGGAAAUGUUCCGGCGGCUACGGAUGGGCCCGCGGCCUAUCAGCUUGUUGGUGAGGUAACGGCCCACCAAGGCGACGACGGGUAGCCGACCUGAGAGGGCGACCGGCCACACUGGGACUGAGACACGGCCCAGACUCCGUACGGGAGGCA